rnacentral:rRNA from 1 species
AUGCCGAUCCACCUCCGGCUGCGGCGCUGGCUGCCUUGCCCUCGCCCAGAGCCCCUCCGCCGUUCACCUUCGCCCUCUGCCUCAGCGGUGCUGGUGCUGUCCAGUGCGGCUCGGCAUGUAGUGCGGUUCAUCCUAUGUAUUGUUGAAGCUGAUCCAAAGCAACAAAAGCAGCGAGCGGGCAUAUGUAUGCAGGCUGCUGCGGGUUGCCACGUAUUCCUUCAAGUAUUGUACUAA